rnacentral:rRNA from 1 species
AUCCGGAUUUAUUGGGUUUAAAGGGAGCGUAGGCCGGAGAUUAAGCGUGUUGUGAAAUGUAGAUGCUCAACAUCUGAACUGCAGCGCGAACUGGUUUCCUUGAGUACGCACAAAGUGGGCGGAAUUCGUGGUGUAGCGGUGAAAUGCUUAGAUAUCACGAAGAACUCCGAUUGCGAAGGCAGCUCACUGGAGCGCAACUGACGCUGAAGCUCGAAAGUGCGGGUAUAGAACAGGAUUAGAUACCCUGGUAGUCCGCACGGUAAACGAUGGAUGCCCGCCGUUGGUCUGAAUAGGUCAGCGGCCAAGCGAAAGCAUUAAGCAUCCCACCUGGGGAGUACGCCGGCAACGGUGAAACUCAAAGGAAUUGACGGGGGCCCGCACAAGCGGAGGAACAUGUGGUGUAAUUCGAUGAUACGCGAGGAACCUUACCCGGGCUUGAAUUGCAGAGGAAGGAUUUGGAGACAAUGACGCCCUUCGGGGCCUCUGUGAAGGUGCUGCAUGGUUGUCGUCAGCUCGUGCCGUGAGGUGUCGGCUUAAGUGCCAUAACGAGCGCAACCCCUCUCCUUAGUUGCCAUCAGGUGAAGCUGGGCACUCUGGGGACACUGCCACCGUAAGGUGUGAGGAAGGUGGGGAUGACGUCAAAUCAGCACGGCCCUUACGUCCGGGGCUACACACGUGUUACAAUGGCAGGUACAGAGAGACGGUCCCUUGCAAAAUGGAUCAAAUCCUUAAAGCCUGUCUCAGUUCGGACUGGGGUGUGCAACCCGACCCCACGAAGCUGGAUUCGCUAGUAAUCGCGCAUCAGCCAUGGCGCGGUGAAUAAAAGGCCGGGCCUUGCACA